UGAGCUGUGUAGAGCUCAGGGUUAGCUCCAAGCUGCAGGGAGGAGCUGUCACUGUAGCUCCCUGCUGUCCUGGGGUAUCUCCCAGCCUCGAGAAGAGUAGUGCUUUUCACGCUAGCAGGGACCUGGAGGACUGAAAAGAAGUGGGAAACAUGAAAAAAAUAUCAGGAUAUCAACAAAAGAUCAUCUAUAAUCUGUGCAACUGUGAAACAAAAAAAAUAAUGUAAUGUGUUUCCCCCCCCCACUGGCUGCAUUUUGUUACAGAAAUGAGAUCUCAUUAUGCUUCAGGAAAUACAGAUUCUACCACACAAAGUAUUUAAUAAAUGUUAUAGUGCACUUUACCUGAAAAAGAAGCUGGUCACAUAGCUAGUCACAAAUAUUUGGCC